AUGUCGAUCGUGCGGCGGAGCAACGUGUUCGACCCCUUCGCCGACCUCUGGGCGGACCCCUUCGACGCCUUCCGCUCCAUCGUCCCGGCGAUCUCAGGCGGCAGCAGCAGCGAGACGGCCGCGUUCGCCAGUGCUCGCGUGGACUGGAAGGAGACCCCCGAGGCGCACGUCUUCAAGGCCGACCUCCCCGGCGUGAAGAAGGAGGAGGUCAAGGUGGAGGUGGAGGACGGCAACGUGCUCGUCGUCAGCGGCGAGCGGAGCAGGGAGAAGGAGGACAAGAACGACAAGUGGCACCGCGUGGAGCGCAGCAGCGGCAAGUUCGCGAGGCGCUUCCGGCUGCCGGAGGACGCCAAGGUGGAGGAGGUGAAGGCCGGGCUGGAGAACGGCGUGCUCACCGUCACCGUGCCAAAGGCCCACGUCAAGAAGCCCGAGGUGAAGGCCAUCGAGAUAUCCGGCUGA
rnacentral:rRNA from 1 species